CAAAACCGGCGUGACAGGGCUACAGACGGGGCAUAGGGGGAGGAAGGAGGGAGUAUAUUAUUAGAAAAAGCAAAGCAUCCUCCACACCCCCAUAGACGAAAAAAACAGGCUUGUGGCUAAUAUACAUCAUUGAAGAGAGGUGGCAUCCUUAGUUCUAUGGGGAAGUAUUAAGUUCCGGAACAAAAAGUAAGGGGUUUAUCCCUUCCACACAUCGGGGGUAUAGUGAGGGGUGCCAUCCUUUAUUAGAAUUUCUGGGGGUUAAGAUCCCGCCGGCGGUUGGUUAAGUAAGAUGGGAAAUCCCCCCCCUCAACCGGGGAAGGUCAUUUGAAACAGGCCAGUCAGAUAUUUGUAGAGAGGGGUAGAAUUCCAGGUGUAGCGGUGAAAUGCGUAGAGUUCCGGAGGAAUACCGGUGGGGGAAGGCGGCCCCCUGGACAAAGACUGACGCUCAGGUGCGAAAGCGUGGGGAGCAAACAGG
rnacentral:rRNA from 1 species